rnacentral:tRNA from 1 species
GUUUAAAUAGUUUAAAAAAAAUUUUGAUUUGUGGUGUCAAAGAUGUAAUACUUACUUUAAACC